CAUGACCCUGGUAUGGUGAAGCAUUGUUUGUAAUCAUCUUUCACGGACACAUAUACACUGAUUAUCGCAUACAUGCAUACAUGAUUCACAAAGGUAAACAAUUGGUUGAGGACGAGUUGUCACAGGAAAAGUGGGAAGGACCGACGCCGUGACGGUAGAGUAGCAUUGGAGGCGCGGUGGCUAAUUGAUCAGCUGGCAGGUAAUCAUGGUGAUGUCUAUUAGUAUACCUGAGCGUUUGGGCACUGGUUCUUUGGCUUUGCUUCUGGAAGGCAGCAGAACGUUGGAGCUGCGAGGAGCGUGUCUGUGUUGGCAUCCCAUUGACGGAAGUGGUGGCGUAUCCAUACCCCACGGGAAACCGGUUGGUAGAGAGACUUCCCUGAGCAUUGGCAUCGCGGAGAGAAAGCGUGCUUUGAGCGAGGGUCGGCAUUGCAGAGAGAAAAUUGACUACGUGUGAAGUUGCGACUACAACCACAUCCUACAAAAAACGGGUGCUUGCUUCAAGACGUCAUAUGAACCGGUGUUUAAUUGUGGGGUGCGGAAAC